CGGCCCAGACUCCUACGGGAGGCAGCAGUAGGGAAUCUUCCGCAAUGGACGAAAGUCUGACGGAGCAACGCCGCGUGAGUGAUGAAGGUUUUCGGAUCGUAAAACUCUGUUGUUAGGGAAGAACAAGUACCGUUCAAAUAGGGCGGUACCAUGACGGUACCUAACCAGAAAGCCACGGCUAACUACGUGCCAGCAGCCGCGGUAAUACGUAGGUGGCAAGCGUUGUCCGGAAUUAUUGGGCGUAAAGCGCGCGCAGGCGGUCUUUUAAGUCUGAUGUGAAAGCCCACGGCUUAACCGUGGAGGGUCAUUGGAAACUGGAGGACUUGAGUACAGAAGAGGAGAGUGGAAUUCCACGUGUAGCGGUGAAAUGCGUAGAGAUGUGGAGGAACACCAGUGGCGAAGGCGACUCUCUGGUCUGUAACUGACGCUGAGGCGCGAAAGCGUGGGGAGCGAACAGGAUUAGAUACCCUGGUAGUCCACGCCGUAAACGAUGAGUGCUAGGUGUUAGGGGGUUUCCGCCCCUUAGUGCUGAAGUUAACGCAUUAAGCACUCCGCCUGGGGAGUACGGCCGCAAGGCUGAAACUCAAAAGAAUUGACGGGGGCCCGCACAAGCGGUGGAGCAUGUGGUUUAAUUCGAAGCAACGCGAAGAACCUUACCAGGUCUUGACAUCCUCUGAACACGGUAGAGAUAUCGUUUUCCCUUCGGGGACAGAGUGACAGGUGGUGCAUGGUUGUCGUCAGCUCGUGUCGUGAGAUGUUGGGUUAAGUCCCGCAACGAGCGCAACCCUUGAUCUUAGUUGCCAGCAUUAAGUUGGGCACUCUAAGGUGACUGCCGGUGACAAACCGGAGGAAGGUGGGGAUGACGUCAAAUCAUCAUGCCCCUUAUGACCUGGGCUACACACGUGCUACAAUGGAUGGAACAAAGGGCAGCGAAGCCGCGAGGUGAAGCAAAUCCCAUAAAACCAUUCUCAGUUCGGAUUGUAGGCUGCAACUCGCCUACAUGAAGCCGGAAUCGCUAGUAAUCGCGGAUCAGCAUGCCGCGGUGAAUACGUUCCCGGGCCUUGUACACACCGCCCGUCACACCACGAGAGUCGGCAACACCCGAAGUCGGUGAGGUAACCUUU
rnacentral:rRNA from 1 species